rnacentral:rRNA from 1 species
CAGGACGACGCUGGCGGCGUGCUUCAUACAUGCAAGUCGAACGAUAAGGUCUCUUCGGAGACACAUAAGUGGCGGACGGGUGAGUAAAAUGUAGAGAAUCUGCCCUAGAGUGGGGGACAACAGUUGGAAACGACUGCUAAUACCGCAUAUGAGCGUACCUGCAAUGGUAUUCUUGAAAACUCCGGUGCUCUGGGAUGAGUCUGCAUCUGAUUAGCUAGUUGGCGGUGUAAUGGACCACCAAGGCGACGAUCAGUAGCUGGUUUGAGAGGAUGAUCAGCCACAAUGGGACUGAGACACGGCCCAUACUCCUACGGGAGGCAGCAGUAGGGAAUUUUGCGCAAUGGGCGAAAGCCUGACGCCAGCAACGCCGCGUGAUUGAAUAAGCCCUUCGGGGUGUAAAGAUCUGUCAGUAGGGACGAAACUUGACGGUACCGACAGAGGAAGCAUCGGCUAACUCCGUGCCAGCCGCCGC